rnacentral:rRNA from 1 species
UACGAAGGGGGCUAGCGUUGCUCGGAAUUACUGGGCGUAAAGCGCACGUAGGCGGCUUUCUAAGUCGGGGGUGAAAUCCUGGAGCUCAACUCCAGAACUGCCUUCGAUACUGGAGAGCUCGAGUCCGGGAGAGGUGAGUGGAACUGCGAGUGUAGAGGUGAAAUUCGUAGAUAUUCGCAAGAACACCAGUAGCGAAGGCGGCUCACUGGCCCGGUACUGACGCUGAGGUGCGAAAGCGUGGGGAGCAAACAGG